rnacentral:misc_RNA from 1 species
AAGUCGUAACAAGGUUUCCGUAGGUGAACCUGCGGAAGGAUCAUUAACACGUAUCCAAACGUUAAACCAUAGCCCGGAAAGUUGUAGUGAUUAAGAGACCUCUGGCUACGUGCAAACAUUGGAACAGUACAAUGGAGCGGUAGUUCUAUAGGCAAUGUUUCCCAAUUAGUCAGUGUCGGAAAGUGUCAUUGAUUGUGCAAUCAUAGCGCUUUCUACGAUUUCUGUAGACCCUAAUAACCCCACAGUUUAAUGUGAAGCUCAAUGUAAUACAGUGGGCAAAAAAACCGAACAACUGGUAACAAUGGAUAUCUUGGUUCUC